UCCCUCUUAGCUCAGUUGGUAGAGCGCGUCACUAGUAUAUCCAAAUACACUAAUGUUAUGCUUAAUGACGAGGUCAGUCGUUCAAAUCGGCUAGCGGGAA